UACGUAGGGGGCUAGCGUUGUCCGGAAUCAUUGGGCGUAAAGAGCGUGUAGGCGGCCCGGUAAGUCCGCUGUGAAAGUCGGGGGCUCAACCCUCGAAUGCCGGUGGAUACUGUCGGGCUAGAGUGCGGAAGAGGCGAGUGGAAUUCCUGGUGUAGCGGUGAAAUGCGUAGAUAUCGCUUGGAACGCCAAUGGUGAAACGAGCUACGC
rnacentral:rRNA from 1 species